rnacentral:tRNA from 1 species
GAGGGUAUAGCCCAGCUGGUGGAGUGCUUGCUUGGCAUGCAUGAAGCCCUGAGUUCCACCCUCAGUAUCUCA